UAAAGCCAGCUGCCUGGGACCUUGUGGUUACAAAGUAACUGGAAACAAUUCUUCACUGAAAAUGGGAUCAACAUGCUAGAAUCUCAUUAUGGUGGAGGUUGAAGAAGCUUGGAGCUAAGAAGAUGGGGUGAAGGGAUAUCUGAAGAAGACCCCUUCUGAUCUCUGAAAAGCAAAAAGAAGAUCCUUCAUACCAUAAAACUAAUGGGUUCAAG
rnacentral:lncRNA from 1 species